rnacentral:rRNA from 1 species
UACGUAGGGGGGCAAGCGUUGUCCGGAAUCAUUGGGCGUAAGGAGCGUGUAGGCGGCUCGAUAAGUCUGCUGUGAAAAGUCCAGGGCUCAACCCUGGAAUGCCGGUGGAAACUGUCGGGCUGGAGUCCGGAAGAGGCGAGUGGAAUUCCUGGUGUAGCGGUGAAAUGCGCAGAUAUCAGGGGGAACACCAAUGGCGAAGGCAGCUCGCUGGGACGGUACUGACGCUGAGACGCGAAAGCGUGGGGAGCAAACAGG